ACCGCCCACCCCGCACCCCUGCUCUGCAGAACCUGCCCAAGGGCCCAAGGGAAUGCGCGAGUCCAGGAGGGUCCAAGAGCCUGAGCAUGCAGACGGGGGGAGGGAGGAUGGGGCAUCUGAUGAAAAGAGGGACCGAGGAAGGUGUGCGGGGCUGGUCACGGGGGGACCUUGGACACCCCAUCAAGACGACUAAGCAACAGGCAUGACCCUGGGCCUGUGUAGAUUCUCCCAAGAUCUGCUUUCCCCCGGGGGAGGCGGCAGCCCUCAGCCGGACGGGCCCCGGACUGCCCCGGCCAUGAAGCCAGUCGCUGGGCACAGCAGCCCACUGAGGACUGUCUCCCAGGCCUCUCUGCACAGCAGACACCUGCUCUUGUAGGCGCCAGCACUGCUGGGUAGGCUCGGUUGGAAUUCCAGCUGACGAGUAGGAAUCCUGAUCUCAGAGGACAAAGGUGCGUGCGCCGACCUGUAGCUACCCAUUCCCGUCUCACAGAGACUCAGAGUUCUCAGAAUAGCCCAGAAUAGCCCAUUCAGCACCUGGAGCGCCAACCGUUCUGUGUGGGAGAGAGGCUGGUGGGCAGAUGUGUUACCGUCACCGAGGGCAG